rnacentral:rRNA from 1 species
UACGAAGGGGGCUAGCGUUGUUCGGAUUUACUGGGCGUAAGCGCACGUAGGCGGAUCGUUAAGUGAGGGGUGAAAUCCCAGGGCUCAACCCUGGGACUGCCUUUCAUACUGGCGAUCUCGAGUCCGGAAGAGGUGAGUGGAACUCCUAGUGUAGAGGUGGAAUUCGUAGAUAUUAGGAAGAACACCAGUGGCGAAGGCGGCUCACUGGUCCGGUACUGACGCUGAGAUGCGAAAGCGUGGGGAGCAAACA